UGGCGCACGGGUGCGUAACGCGUGGGAACCUGCCCUUAGGUUCGGAAUAACAGUUAGAAAUGACUGCUAAUACCGGAUAAUGUCUUCGGACCAAAGAUUUAUCGCCUUUGGAUGGGCCCGCGUUGGAUUAGAUAGUUGGUGGGGUAAUGGCCUACCAAGUCGACGAUCCAUAGCUGGUCUGAGAGGAUGAUCAGCCACACUGGGACUGAGACACGGCCCAGACUCCUACGGGAGGCAGCAGUGGGGAAUAUUGGACAAUGGGCGAAAGCCUGAUCCAGCAAUGCCGCGUGAGUGAUGAAGGCCUUAGGGUUGUAAAGCUCUUUUACCAGGGAUGAUAAUGACAGUACCUGGAGAAUAAGCUCCGGCUAACUCCGUGCCAGCAGCCGCGGUAAUACGGAGGGAGCUAGCGUUGUUCGGAAUUACUGGGCGUAAAGCGCACGUAGGCGGCUUUUCAAGUCAGGGGUGAAAUCCCGGGGCUCAACCCCGGAACUGCCCUUGAAACUGGAUGGCUAGAAUACUGGAGAGGUGAGUGGAAUUCCGAGUGUAGAGGUGAAAUUCGUAGAUAUUCGGAAGAACACCAGUGGCGAAGGCGACUCACU
rnacentral:rRNA from 1 species